GUGACGCUGUGGGGUGACGCUAUGGGGCUGCCCCACAGCUACCCCAUGGCGUUGGGCAACCUGGCCGACCUGGAGGAGUUGGAGCCGACGCCGGGGCGGCCGGACCCACUGACGCUGUACCAUGAGGUGGGGGGCGGCGCCGCUAUGGGGCAGGGUCGCUAUGGGGCGGCGUCUCUCUCUAUGGGUCUCUAAGGGAUCUCUGUGGGUCUCUCUGGGGUUCUAUGGGUCUCUAUGGGGCGGCGUCUCUCUCUAUGGGUCUCUAUGGGUCUCUAUGGGGCGGCGUCUCUCUCUAUGGGUCUCCAUGGGUCCCUGGGGUUCUAUGGGUUCUCUGUGGGGUGGUGUCUCUCUAUGGGGUCUCUAUGGGGUCUCUAUGAGUCUCUAUGGGGCGGCGUCUCUACGGGGCAUUUCUAUGGGUCUCUAUGGGGUCUCUAUGGGGCAGUGUGGGUCUCUGUGGGUCUCUAUGGGUCUCUAUGGGGCGGUGUCUGUAUGGGGCAUUUCUAUGGGUCUCUAAGGGUCUCUCUGGGGUUCUAUGGGUCUCUAUGGGGCGGCUUCUCUCUCUGUGGGUCUCUGUGGGUCUCUGUGGGGCUCUGUGGGGCUCUAUGGGGUUCUGUGGGUCUCUAUGGGGCGGCGUCUCUCUCUAUGGGUCUCUAUGGGGCUCUAUGGGUCUCUAUGGGGUGGCGUCUCUACGGGUCUCUAUGGGGUUCUGUGGGUCUCUAUGGGGUGGCGUCUCUACAGGGCAUCUCUAUGGGUCUCUAUGGG
rnacentral:lncRNA from 1 species